UACGAAGGGGGCUAGCGUUGCUCGGAAUCACUGGGCGUAAAGGGUGCGUAGGCGGUUCUUUAAGUCUGGGGUGAAAUCCUGGAGCUCAACUCCAGAACUGCCUUUGAUACUGAAGAUCUUGAGUUCGGGAGAGGUGAGUGGAACUGCGAGUGUAGAGGUGAAAUUCGUAGAUAUUCGCAAGAACACCAGUGGCGAAGGCGGCGCACUGGCCCGAUACUGACGCUGAGACGCGAAAGCGUGGGGAGCGAACAGG
rnacentral:rRNA from 1 species